rnacentral:rRNA from 1 species
AUGAACGCUGGCGGCGUGCCUAAUACAUGCAAGUCGAGCGGUAAGGCUCCUGCAGGUUAUUCAUAUCGAAAGAUUGAGUGACGUGCUGGAGUACACGAGCGGCGGACGGCUGAGUAACACGUAGGAACGUACCCCAAAGUGAGGGAUAAGCACCAGAAAUGGUGUCUAAUACCGCGUGUGCUCUUCGGAGGAAAGCUUCGGCGCUUUGGGAACGGCCUGCGCAUGAUUAGCUUGUUGGUGAGGUAAUAGCUCACCAAGGCGAUGAUCAUUAGCUGGUCUGAGAGGAUGAUCAGCCAGACUGGGACUGAGAACGGCCCAGACUCCUACGGGAGGCAGCAGUAGGGAAUUUUCCACAAUGGGCGCAAGCCUGAUGGAGCAACGCCGCGUGCAGGAUGAAGGCUUUCGGGUCGUAAACUGCUUUUAUAUGUGACGAUUAUGACGGUAGCAUAUGAAUAAGGAUCGGCUAACUCCGU